rnacentral:ncRNA from 1 species
UAAUAGGUAUGUCCACUCGUAUAAGUUCUGGAUAUGGCAGAAUGUCUCUACCGAAAACCAUAAAUUUUCGUCUAUGAGUGAAACUAUUAUU